rnacentral:misc_RNA from 1 species
AAAAAAUAGACCAAAGAGAGAUAUAGUGCGGUAUGAAGAGUCUAGUUGAGUAUGCCAGUGUAGUGGAGAGCCGUAAGCCUUACAUAGCAGUGCUCUUUAUACAGUUUGUGUAUGCAGGCAUGGCUUUGCUCUCCAAGGCUGCAACUGCGAGAGGAAUGAACCCUUUUGUUUUUGUUGUUUAUAGGCAAGCUUUUGCCUCAGUUGCAUUGGCGCCAUUUGCUAUCUUUCUUGAAAGCAAGAAGGCACCGCCCCUGUCAAAUGGUUUACUUUGCAAGAUCUUUUUAGUUUCCUUUUGUGGAUUAACUCUGAGUUUGAACCUCUACUAUAGUGCAAUCAACUAUACAACUGCAACAUUUGCAGCUGCAACCACUAAUACAAUUCCUGCCAUAACCUUUAUAAUGGCUGCCGCAUUGAGG